UACAGAGGUCCCAAGCGUUGUUCGGAUUCACUGGGCGUAAAGGGUGCGCAGGUGGGUUUGCAAGUUCGAUGUGAAAGCCCCGGGCUUAACCCGGGAAUGGCAUUGGAUACUGCAGAUCUGGAGGAUCGGAGGGGGGACUGGAAUUCUUGGUGUAGCAGUGAAAUGCGUAGAUAUCAAGUGGAACACCAGUGGCGAAGGCGAGUCCCUGGACAAUUCCUGACACUGAGGCACGAAAGCUAGGGGAGCAAACAGG
rnacentral:rRNA from 1 species